rnacentral:rRNA from 1 species
CGGUCUUGCUGUCACUUAUAGAUGGAUCCGCGCUGCAUUAGCUAGUUGGUAAGGUAACGGCUUACCAAGGCAACGAUGCAUAGCCGACCUGAGAGGGUGAUCGGCCACACUGGAACUGAGACACGGUCCAGACUCCUACGGGAGGCAGCAGUAGGGAAUCUUCCGCAAUGGGCGAAAGCCUGACGGAGCAACGCCGCGUGAGUGAUGAAGGUCUUCGGAUCGUAAAACUCUGUUAUUAGGGAAGAACAUAUGUGUAAGUAACUGUGCACAUCUUGACGGUACCUAAUCAGAAAGCCACGGCUAACUACGUGCCAGCAGCCGCGGUAAUACGUAGGUGGCAAGCGUUAUCCGGAAUUAUUGGGCGUAAAGCGCGCGUAGGCGGUUUUUUAAGUCUGAUGUGAAAGCCCACGGCUCAACCGUGGAGGGUCAUUGGAAACUGGAAAACUUGAGUGCAGAAGAGGAAAGUGGAAUUCCAUGUGUAGCGGUGAAAUGCGCAGAGAUAUGGAGGAACACCAGUGGCGAAGGCGACUUUCUGGUCUGUAACUGACGCUGAUGUGCGAAAGCGUGGGGAUCAAACAGGAUUAGAUACCCUGGUAGUCCACGCCGUAAACGAUGAGUGCUAAGUGUUAGGGGGUUUCCGCCCCUUAGUGCUGCAGCUAACGCAUUAAGCACUCCGCCUGGGGAGUACGACCGCAAGGUUGAAACUCAAAGGAAUUGACGGGGACCCGCACAAGCGGUGGAGCAUGUGGUUUAAUUCGAAGCAACGCGAAGAACCUUACCAAAUCUUGACAUCCUUUGACAACUCUAGAGAUAGAGCCUUCCCCUUCGGGGGACAAAGUGACAGGUGGUGCAUGGUUGUCGUCAGCUCGUGUCGUGAGAUGUUGGGUUAAGUCCCGCAACGAGCGCAACCCUUAAGCUUAGUUGCCAUCAUUAAGUUGGGCACUCUAAGUUGACUGCCGGUGACAAACCGGAGGAAGGUGGGGAUGACGUCAAAUCAUCAUGCCCCUUAUGAUUUGGGCUACACACGUGCUACAAUGGACAAUACAAAGGGCAGCGAAACCGCGAGGUCAAGCAAAUCCCAUAAAGUUGUUCUCAGUUCGGAUUGUAGUCUGCAACUCGACUACAUGAAGCUGGAAUCGCUAGUAAUCGUAGAUCAGCAUGCUACGGUGAAUACGUUCCCGGGUCUUGUACACACCGCCCGUCACACCACGAGAGUUUGUAACACCCGAAGCCGGUGGAGUAACCUUUUAGGAGCUAGCCGUCGAAGGUGGGACAAAUGAUUGGGGUGAAGUCGUAACAAGGUAGCCGUAUCGGAAGGUGCGGCUGGAUCACCUCCUUU